rnacentral:rRNA from 1 species
GACGAACGCUGGCGGCGUGCCUAAUACAUGCAAGUAGAACGCUGAAGGAGGAGCUUGCUUCUCCGGAUGAGUUGCGAACGGGUGAGUAACGCGUAGGUAACCUGCCUGGUAGCGGGGGAUAACUAUUGGAAACGAUAGCUAAUACCGCAUAACAGUAGAUGUUGCAUGACAUUUGCUUAAAAGGUGCAAUUGCAUCACUACCAGAUGGACCUGCGUUGUAUUAGCUAGUUGGUGAGGUAACGGCUCACCAAGGCGACGAUACAUAGCCGACCUGAGAGGGUGAUCGGCCACACUGGGACUGGGACACGGCCCAGACUCCUACGGGAGGCAGCAGUAGGGAAUCUUCGGCAAUGGACGGAAGUCUGACCGAGCAACGCCGCGUGAGUGAAGAAGGUUUUCGGAUCGUAAAGCUCUGUUGUAAGAGAAGAACGAGUGUGAGAGUGGAAAGUUCACACUGUGACGGUAUCUUACCAGAAAGGGACGGCUAACUACGUG